rfam:Cajanus cajan Scaffold132678_1, whole genome shotgun sequence.
CAAAAAGUUUUUUUAAAAACUAUAUCUUUAAUCAUGUAAAUGAAGU